UGGGGAAUAUUGGACAAUGGGCGAAAGCCUGAUCCAGCCAUGCCGCGUGUGUGAAGAAGGUCUUCGGAUUGUAAAGCACUUUAAGUUGGGAGGAAGGGCAUUAACCUAAUACGUUAGUGUUUUGACGUUACCGACAGAAUAAGCACCGGCUAACUCUGUGCCAGCAGCCGCGGUAAUACAGAGGGUGCAAGCGUUAAUCGGAAUUACUGGGCGUAAAGCGCGCGUAGGUGGUUUGUUAAGUUGGAUGUGAAAUCCCCGGGCUCAACCUGGGAACUGCAUUCAAAACUGACUGACUAGAGUAUGGUAGAGGGUGGUAGAAUUUCCUGUGUAGCGGUGAAAUGCGUAGAUAUAGGAAGGAACACCAGUGGCGAAGGCGACCACCUGGACUAAUACUGACACUGAGGUGCGAAAGCGUGGGGAGCAAACA
rnacentral:rRNA from 1 species